rnacentral:lncRNA from 1 species
UAAAUUAAAACGCAGAUGCAAACAGAAAGGUAAGCACAAAUGUAGAAACCGGAAUCAAAUACAAAAUAAAAGCGGUUGGUCAUUAACUNAAUUACUAUGCUUCCAAUCACAGAUUAACAACAAGUACAUACUACUCUUAUCCAAAUCCGACACGAAUCAGCCAACUAAACGAAGGCUAAUUCGGUCUUCAAAAUUGCAAACUAAGCGAAUGCAAUGCACAAAUCUAAUCAGUCAUGCACCAUACAGUCUAAGCAACUAAGCGAAG